GACGAACGCUGGCGGCGUGCUUAACACAUGCAAGUCGAACGGAAAGGCCCUGCUCUUGUGGGGUGCUCGAGUGGCGAACGGGUGAGUAACACGUGAGUAACCUGCCCUUGACUUUGGGAUAACUUCAGGAAACUGGGGCUAAUACCGGAUAGGAGCUCCUGCUGCAUGGUGGGGGUUGGAAAGUUUCGGCGGUUGGGGAUGGACUCGCGGCUUAUCAGCUUGUUGGUGGGGUAGGGGCUUACCAAGGCUUUGACGGGUAGCCGGCCUGAGAGGGUGACCGGCCACAUUGGGACUGAGAUACGGCCCAGAAUCCUACGGGAGGCAGCAGUGGGGAAUAUUGCACAAUGGGCGGAAGCCUGAUGCAGCAACGCCGCGUGCGGGAUGACGGCCUUCGGGUUGUAAACCGCUUUCGCCUGUGACGAAGCGUGAGUGACGGUAAUGGGUAAAGAAGCACCGGCUAACUACGUG
rnacentral:rRNA from 1 species